rnacentral:rRNA from 1 species
GAUGAACGCUCGCGGCAGGCCUAACACAUGCAAGUCGAGGGAGAAGCCCUUUCGGGGGCAGAAACCGGCGCACGGGUGCGUAACGCGUAUGCAACCUACCUUUCACAGGGGGAUAGCCCGAAGAAAUUUGGAUUAAUACCCCAUAAUAUUAUUGGAUGGCAUCAUUUGAUAAUUAAAACUGCGGUGGUGAAAGAUGGGCAUGCGUCCUAUUAGCUAGUUGGAGUGGUAACGGCACCCCAAGGCUACGAUAGGUAGGGGUCCUGAGAGGGAGAUCCCCCACACUGGUACUGAGACAGGGACCAGACUCCUACGGGAGGCAGCAGUGAGGAAUAUUGGUCAAGGGUCGGAAGACUGAACCAGCCAUGCCGCGUGCAGGAAGAAUGCCUUAUGGGUGGUAAACUGCUUUUAUAUGGGAAGAAUAAGGCGUACGUGUACGUUGAUGACGGUACCAUAUGAAUAAGCAUCGGCUAACUCCGUG